GAUGAACGCUGGCGGCGUGCUUAACACAUGCAAGUCGAACGGAAAGGCCCAAGCUUGCUUGGGUACUCGAGUGGCGAACGGGUGAGUAACACGUGGGUGAUCUGCCCUGCACUUCGGGAUAAGCCUGGGAAACUGGGUCUAAUACCGGAUAGGACCACAUUUUGGAUGGUGUGGUGGAAAGUUUUUCGGUGUGGGAUGAGCUCGCGGCCUAUCAGCUUGUUGGUGGGGUAAUGGCCUACCAAGGCGUCGACGGGUAGCCGGCCUGAGAGGGUGUACGGCCACAUUGGGACUGAGAUACGGCACAGACUCCUACGGGAGGCAGAAGGGGGGAAGAUUGAACGAUGGGCGCAGGCCGGAUGCAGCGACGCCGCGUGGGGGAUGACGGCCUUCGGGUUGUAAACUCCUUGCGCUAGGGACGAAGCGUUAUGUGACGGUACCUGGAGAAGAAGCACCGGCUAACUACGUG
rnacentral:rRNA from 1 species